rnacentral:pre_miRNA from 13 species
UUGAGAGAGCGGCAGUUAAGACUUGUAGUGAUGUUUAGAUAAUGUAUCACAUGAACAUCACUUUAAGUCUGUGCUUCUUCUCUCCUCAUU